rnacentral:rRNA from 1 species
GAUGAACGCUGGCGGCGUGCCUAAUACAUGCAAGUCGAGCGAACAGACGAGGAGCUUGCUCCUCUGACGUUAGCGGCGGACGGGUGAGUAACACGUGGAUAACCUACCUAUAAGACUGGGAUAACUUCGGGAAACCGGAGCUAAUACCGGAUAAUAUAUUGAACCGCAUGGUUCAAUAGUUCAAGACGGUUUUGCUGUCACUUAUAGAUGGAUCCGCGCCGCAUUAGCUAGUUGGUAAGGUAACGGCUUACCAAGGCAACGAUGCGUAGCCGACCUGAGAGGGUGAUCGGCCACACUGGAACUGAGACACGGUCCAGACUCCUACGGGAGGCAGCAGUAGGGAAUAUUCCGCAAUGGGCGAAAGCCUGACGGAGCAACGCCGCGUGAGUGAUGAAGGUCUUCGGAUCGUAAAGCUCUGUUAUUAGGGAAGAACAAAUGUGUAAGUAACUAUGCACGUCUUGACGGUACCUAAUCAGAAAGCCACGGCUAACUACGUG